AAUCAACGCUGGCGGCGUGCCUCAGACAUGCAAGUCGAACGAUUAAAGCUCCCUUCGGGGAGUGCAUAGAGUGGCGCACGGGUGAGUAACACGUAAGUAAUCUACCUUUGAGUGGGGAAUAACGUUCGGAAACGGACGCUAAUACCGCAUAAUGCAGCGGCAUCGCAAGAUGACAGUUGUUAAAGGAGCAAUCCGCUUAAAGAGGAGCUUGCGGCAGAUUAGCUUGUUGGUAAGGUAACGGCUUACCAAGGCUACGAUCUGUAUCCGGUCUAAGAGGACGGUCGGACACACUGACACUGAAUAACGGGUCAGACUCCUACGGGAGGCAGCAGUCGGGAAUUUGGGUCAAUGGGCGAAAGCCUGACCCAGCAACGCCGCGUGAAGGAUGAAGUAUUUCGGUACGUAAACUUCGAAAGAAUAGAAGAAUAAAUGACGGUACUAUUUAUAAGCUCCGCUACUAACGUGCCAGCAGCCGCCGCAGUAC
rnacentral:rRNA from 1 species